AGAGUUUGAUCCUGGCUCAGAACGAACGCUGGCGGCGUGCCUAACACAUGCAAGUCGAACGGAGAUAAGGGGCUUGCUCCUUAUUUUAGUGGCGCACGGGUGAGUAACGCGUGGAUAAUCUACCUUGGAAUCUGGGAUAACAUUUCGAAAGGGGUGCUAAUACCGGAUAAGACCACGAGCUCUUUGGAGUUUGCGGUAAAAGGGGGCCUCUGUAUAUGCUUCUGUUUCAAGAUGAGUCCGCGUACCAUUAGCUAGUUGGCAGGGUAAUGGCCUACCAAGGCGACGAUGGUUAGCUGGUCUGAGAGGAUGAUCAGCCACACUGGAACUGAGACACGGUCCAGACUCCUACGGGAGGCAGCAGUGGGGAAUAUUGCACAAUGGGGGAAACCCUGAUGCAGCAACGCCGCG
rnacentral:rRNA from 1 species